GGCGCAAGCCUGAUGCAGCCAUGCCGCGUGUAUGAAGAAGGCCUUCGGGUUGUAAAGUACUUUCAGCAGUGAGGAAGGUGGAUGUGUUAAUAGCGCAUUCAUUUGACGUUAGCUGCAGAAGAAGCACCGGCUAACUCCGUGCCAGCAGCCGCGGUAAUACGGAGGGUGCGAGCGUUAAUCGGAAUUACUGGGCGUAAAGCGCAUGCAGGUGGUUUGUUAAGUCAGAUGUGAAAGCCCGGGGCUCAACCUCGGAAUUGCAUUUGAAACUGGCAGACUAGAGUACUGUAGAGGGGGGUAGAAUUUCAGGUGUAGCGGUGAAAUGCGUAGAGAUCUGAAGGAAUACCGGUGGCGAAGGCGGCCCCCUGGACAGAUACUGACACUCAGAUGCGAAAGCGUGGGGAGCAAACAGGAUUAGAUACCCUGGUAGUCCACGCCGUAAACGAUGUCUACUUGGAGGUUGUGGCCUUGAGCCGUGGCUUUCGGAGCUAACGCGUUAAGUAGACCGCCUGG
rnacentral:rRNA from 1 species